UGUCUUCUGGGAUGUGCGUAAGUUAACUAUGUCCCUGAGCCGAUAAUCUUUACCCUAGGGUUUCAUUUACUGGCUAUUGAGCAAGCUCGGCUUGUACCGAGAAGCCUACGGUGAGUAUAUUGAUUCCCGCCUUGAGCACACGGUGUUCAAGGGCUGACGUUGGCUACGGCAUUCUGGAAGCAGC
rnacentral:other from 1 species